ensembl:lincRNA
CGAUGUAUUAAGGUUCCCAGAUUAUUGCCUCUUUCGAGAAAACAUUAUACAAGCAGUUUCUAGUUUCCUAGCAGGCGUUUAGACUGCUUAUUAGUUUUAGAAAGAGAAGAAUAGGAGUUGGCCCAUUUCACAUUAUCCAAACGCUCUAUGAAGAUUAGCUCAUUAAUCCUCAUUGUCUCCUCCAGAGAAUUGUUAUCCUUAUUUUUCAGCCGUGGAACUGAAACAAAGUGGUGGACCGAGGGGCCUAGCCCAAGGCUACACAGCUGGUCAGUGGAGAAAUCAGCAUGCCGCUGGCAUCCUCUCUGAGGGAAGGAGAUGCCUGGGGCCUCGGGCAGGGUGCUGGCACAGCCCGAGGGGAGCUGCUGGGAGCCCCAGCCUGGGAGCACAGCAAGCUGAUGACUGAGAACUGUGAUCAUGUAGACCGCCGCUGGGUUGAAGGAUGCCUUCUAGAGUUGUCUGAGCCGUGGAAUGAUAGUCAAAUUAAUAAUGGUGCUAAUAACAAGCAGGAACAUGUGGAAAGCUGCUGCAUGGAUUUGGACCAUGCCUCAGAAGCAAGCCUCAAACCUACCGGUACUCUUGCCUGCUCUGGGAUUCUGCUGCUGUCCAAGCCCAAGGAAACCUUUGGCAAUCUCUUUGUUCUUGCCUACGCGGCUCCUCCUACCUCUUCCUCCUGUGCUCCCACAGCCCUCUGGUUUCAUCUGGCCUGCACUUGGAUUUGACCUCCUGCCUGGGGACAGAUCUCCUGCCCAGCUUGCACCAUUCAUGAUUUCACCAGCAAGCCCUAAGACUCUGAUGCUAGCUCACUGCUCUGCAUCUGCCACUCUUAGCUAUUCUGACAAAUAGAAACAGCAUAGAGUGGGAGAGAGACCCCUCGCUCACAAAUUCUGCUAACAGGAAUUUCUUCUCCAUGAGCCCAUGGGACCUGCAUUUUUAUGUGAGCAUAAUAUCUUGAAGGCUGCUGUGCCACAUCUCUCAGAUGCACAUUUUCUGUGUUGCGUGAGCCACCAGGGACUGCCAGCCAUUUAGAGCUCACCGUGGAAGGUUGGGGGUUACUAUUUCAUGUUGGCCUAGUGAUUUACGAGGGGGCCAUUUUGCAGCCAUCUUAAAGAAACCAUAAAUUGAAGGAAAGCCACAGCCACCUGGCCUUGCACUCUGUUAGCGUGAUCCCUGGCAGCCCAGCUUCACCUUUGGGGCAUUUCCUUUCUCAAUGCUAACUUUAAUCACCAAUGUAAUUAUAGUCUCUUAGAAAUGAUUACAUCCUUCCACCAUAAGAACUGAUCCCAUCGAACUGAGGGUUUCACACCCUGCUCCCUGCUGCUCCCUGUAGGACCAUCCUGGUGCAAAAAGGUUACAGUUGCCUCAUUAGACCUUAGAGGGGGGAACUUUUGGUUGAGUAACCUGCUUUCCCAAAGUGUUCCUUCAUUUACGGUUGUAUUUUAAUUAACCCUCAGUCCCAGGCAAAUAUUUGACAGCCUACUUGAAGGAUUCAGAUUUGCUUGUUUGGUAGAAAUUCAGUGGCCCCCUUUUAAGCUAGUCGGUGUUUCUCAAUCUGGGUUCUUAGAAAAUGGCCAAACAGCAGCGGCAAGUCUUCUUGUAUCUGUCUGCACAAAGGUGGAACGCAGUGCUGUUGUUUCUAUGACAACUGAUGACUUUCUCUCUCUUUUUUUUCAUUUCCUAAAAGCUGCCUGCAUGAUGGACAGCAGUGUGCUGAAGAAAUUUGCAGAGGCAGUGAGGAGCCUGGUAGAUUGCUGAAGCAAAUGUAAACAGCGGUUUUAUUGUCUUCCCAGCCGUGGCUCUUUGUCGCCAGUGCUCUGUUCCAUUGUUUGCCAUGCAAGUCACAGAAAAGCAGGAAUAAUAGCUGCUAGCUGAAAGAGGAGAGACCCCAACAAUUUGUAUGCAAUCUCAUUUGAACUCUUGGAUUUUGGAAGGCAGUUUUGCUUUUUUUUCUUUUCCUUCUUAAAUUCUGCUGUUCAGCUUCUCGUGCUUAAUGAGGCCUUUCAGAAGGGAAAUCUAGCAAACAACAAAACAAGAGUUCUGCCCUUUAAGCAACUGCUUUUUAAAUUCUUUAUCAGAAAUACAGUUGUGCUAUGAAGGUGACUUCAGGAUCUCUGUAUUUGUACUCUACUGUGCCUAUGUCAAACAAGACAGACUUUCUUUGUGGCUCCUUUAAUAUCCCAUUUCUUUAAAUGAGUAGCAUUUCCCAUCCCAUUUCGUUAAAUGAGGAAGCUAUAGGAAAAAUUAACUUUCUGAGGAUAAUAGUUACCCAAUUGGUUAAGUAACUCUGGUCAAUGGUUCUCCAUCUGAGGGCUGAACAUCUUCAGAAGAGCUCAGUGCUAUCUCAAGGAGUGGCAUGUUUUUUUCCCCAAGAUUUAAUGUACAUUUAUUCUUAACAUAUGAACAACUAGUAUAAAGAUUUCAUACUGAAUAAAUGAUCUUAAGCCAAAAAGGGAGGAAUUUACAUCAAGUUUGGCUACAUUAUUUGAAAUACAAAUAUACAGAUUUUAUCACUGAAAAAAUCUCAAUUGUCUUUCUUCAUCAGGAAUUUCAACUGAACCUAGAACUUUUGCACAUCUUGAUUAGAAAGAAAACAAAACAAAAGCCCAGAGAAUAAAAAACAAAAACAAAAAACAACUCUAACUGAUUGACUGUUGAGACAGCAGGGACCAUUUAGAGAGACCAGUGUAGCACAUGUCUGGCAAGAAAUUAAAUAGCCGUGUUCUUGCUUUGUGCAGGUCACCAAUUUGUUAACUCAUCAUACUAUAAAGGGGUGGCUGGGAGGACGACCAAACCAUGGGGAUCCGGAGGGUUUGUGCAAUGUACAACCUCAUAUACAUACACACGUGGCAGCACAACCACUGCAACUAAAGGUUAAAACCAGUUCUAAGAGGUAGUCUCAGGGUUAUUCAUACAAUCAAGGAGGAAGAGAAAGAGAGGUCAGGGUGUUGUAGGUUCACACCACCUCAUACUUUGGGGGAAAAUCCUUUGUUUAACUAAAAACAGUUCUAUAAAGUUCAGCUUGCUGCUAGCACAGUGUUUUUUCUUUUUUUCCAUGUGAGACAUUAUUACAGUAUGUUUACAUUGUCAUGUGUACAGUGUUGUUCACAGUCUGAAUAGAUACUGUGGUUCCCACAGAUUGGUAAUUCCAUUCUUCAGCCAUGUAUGGAUGCUAUUCCAAAUGGAAAAAUGCAAAUU